GAUGAACGCUAGCUACAGGCUUAACAAAUGCAAGUCGAGGGACCGGCGCACGGGUGAGUAACCCGUAUCCAACCUGCCCUUUACUCGGGAAUAGCCUGUCGAAAGAAAGAUUAAUACACGGGAAAAAGGAUGGGGAUGCGUUCCCUUAGGUUGUUGUUGAGGUAACGGCAAACCAAGCCUUCGAUGGAUAUGGGUUCUGAGAGGAAGGUCCCCCAGAUGGGAAUUGAGACACGGUCCAAACUCCUAGGGGAGGCUGCAGUGAGGAAUAUUGGGCAAGGGGCGCUAGCCUGAACCAGCCAAGUAGCGUGAAGAAUGAAGGCUUUUGGGUCGUAAACUUGUUGGAUAUAAGAAUAUGUAUUAUAUGAAUAAGGAUCGGCUAACUCCGUGCCAGCAGCCGCGGUAAUUC
rnacentral:rRNA from 1 species